rnacentral:lncRNA from 1 species
AGGUACUAGGCGUGCCAUGUGCAGGCUCUUGCAGCCCAGCUGUUGCCCUGGCAGCUCCAUGACCACACCUCUGUGCCCAGACAUGGAUCAGAACUGGGAGAAAAAGAGAAGGUGGUACCUUCUAUCCCCUUCACCCUGGGUCUUUCAGGAUCUGCCCCAAGGAGCAGAAAACGGGUGCGCCCAGAGCAGCUUACUCAGGAGACGCUUGCUGCUCACCCUUGCUGAUGCUGAGUAAUCUGCAGGCUGCAAUCUGCCCGUGAAAGAACUCUUGCAACACAUUGUGUGAGGAUCCCAGGCUGCCCUGUCCUUCCCUGGGAAUCAGGUCAAGAGCCCUGCUGGCAGGUGUCCUAGAGCAUGAAUCAGGCCCCUGGCAAGGAGAAGGCGGGAGAUCUUGGCUGAGAUCAGGUAGGAAGGUUUAUUGGAUGAUGUGUCUGGUCAAUAGCCAAUCUAUUAACCCCCCCUGAGAGAAUUAGGAACCUUCAUAUGAUGGGUCAUCUCUUUGUGGGAGAAGUUUAGAUAACUGGAAACCACAUUUUGGUCAAGAAUGACUCAGUUAAUUUUUCCAUGCCUUUAGUGAGGAUUUAAUUUUGCACGGAUGUGGAACCAAUUCAGGAUUGUCCUUGUGAUUCUUUUUCCUAAGUGGAAUACUGAGCCUCCAGCUUGUGUGUCAUAUGUGUGGACUUUUCAGCAUAUUCUUCUCUGGCCCAGAAGUCUGGAUUCUUCUUGUCUGUUGCAAUAAUAUAAAGUUAUUCAGAGCUGUACAUGAAGAGAAGUCCCACAGGGACCCUGGGAUCAGAAGAACUCUGGGAAAUGCCUGGCCCAGCCAGUGCUGUUCUAAAGAUCCUCAUCCUCAUGGAGAUAACCAUUUUUAAGGAAGAAAAGAGGAUCUGGACCCUACCCAUCUCAGUCUCCAUCAGAUCUUAUGGAUGCUCCAGGAAUUGGCCAUGAUUCUCCUCUUUUCUACCAUCUUGUAUGUUGGGCUUUGUAGAGGAUAGAUGUUUUCUAGAAGAAUGGCAGAUAAGGCAAGGUCUGCAGCUUGCCAUUGAUAGUGUCUUUAUCAACAGAUCUGUGAGGAAUUGUGCAGCUGAGAGGGGAGAAGAGAAAUCAGAGAGUGGAUGGACUGCCACAGUUCAACAUAUACUGGUGCUUUCAAUAUAGAAUCCACAAGGCAACCUGCAUGCUGGGCUCUGUGCUAGGCACUAGGGGUAUAUCUAUGAGAUGCCACCCCAGCUCCCACAGUCUUACAAUCUAAUGGGGAAGAGAGAUAUGUCAAUAGACAAACGCAGCAGAUGGCAAGUGCUGGGAUAUGAAACAGUAAGCAGAAGCCACAGUGUUCUCUGGGACUUCUGAGCUGAGUCCCAAAGUAAUUAGAUUAAUCCGUCAUGGGAGGUGGAGUGGGUAGGGGGAGCUCCUGGAAGCAUGAUCAAAAGUGGAGAGCUAAGGUGAGGGAGAAGAAAGAAAUGAGAUUCAGCAAAGAGGAGGAGAGCAAUGAAGGGCCAUGUAUGACCAGGCGAAGGCAAAUUGUUCGGACCAAACAUGACAGUAGGGUGGGUUUUUGAGGGGUAUCCACUGCACUUACAGAGGCAAGAUUCUCUAUGGUGACCUUUCAGUGAGGGUGGGCAAAUACACUACUUUUUGAGUCAGCCAUUUUUCACUACUGAGCACCUCUGGCCUUAGCAAGUUCUGAGCAUGAAUACUUUCUUCUGUUUCUAAGCCAUUCAACAAAUAUCAAAGUGCUUUCCCAUGUAUUGGUCAUCUUAGGCAAACUGGGUGGACAUGUAGAGCAAGACGUAAUGAGGUAAGCACUCACUAGAGCUAGGUCAUCUUAGAAAAGUCACUUAGCUUCACUGAGCCUCAGUCUUCCUAUCUGUGAAAUGGGGAUAAUGACCCUUAUGUCACCUGGUGGGCAAGGUCUAAAUAAAAUCAUUGUAGUUAGAUCCAUAGUAGGUUCUUUCUGACCUACCACUGUGCACCUCACGCCGUUGCUAUUCCAGUGGGAUAUAUCCAGUGGGGUUACGGGUAUGACAUUUCGGAACCCCACCAUCACUUGUAUCAGCAGGUCUGUCCUAGGUUCCCCAACUAAGCUUCCUGGAUGAGGCACCUAGUGGCGUCCCCUAGUUUGAGUGUGGGGGGUUUGGUAAACUAGUCCUUAUGUAUGCUUGUCAGAUGGAGGGUACUGUCUUUAAGAUGGGCUCAUAGCUGAAUCUGGAAGGUAAGUGCUCCAGGCCAGUAUUGUUUUCUGCAGGAUUCAAAGUUCCCUUGCUAUUUCUGCUGACUUUGCUUCCCCUCUCGUGUUCUAUAUCCCAAACCUAUUAUCUUCACCAGCGUUAAUUUGCCUCCACAACUCUGUUUUUGCAUUUUGAAAUGGAAUUUCCCUUAACCUAUAUUCCUCUGGUUCCCAAACUCCACCUGCUUCAGUUUUUUUUUCAAUAUCAUCUACAUUUCCUUCACUAGAUUAUAGCCUUAGUCAUUUGUACCCUUAGAAUGAAUAUUUUUUUCUGUCAUAUCUUUGUUUGAACCUUUUCACAUUUGACUUCAGACAUUACCCAUCUCCUUCAUCUGACCACUUUCUUCACUUUUCUCAUCUUUCCAUUUUGGUUGUAUGUCUACUGAGCAAGGGGCUCUGUGCAGAGCAUUCAAAGAUGACUGAGAUGUAGUCUUGUGGGUAGAGAGAGACAAUUAGAAUGCACCGUGGAGAGUGUUAGGUUGAGGGAAGCGGAGAUUACAGGAGUCCAAAUGUCUUAUCCGAGGAUAUGGGAUAGGCUUGAGAGAAGAUGCUGAGCUCAUGUAGGUGAGGUAUUGUCCUACGUGAAGGAAAAGAGGCAGGAGAUGGCAGCUUGGAGGCUAUAUUACUUUCUCUGGGGCUGCCAUACCAAAGUACCACAAACUGGGUGGCUUAAAACAUCAAAAAUGUAUUUUCUCACAGUUCUAGAAGGUAGAAGCCCAAAAUCAAGAUGUUGGCCCUACAGCUGUGCUCCUUCUGAAGGCUUUGGGGUGAAUGUGUUUAAUGCCCUUUUCUUAGCUUCUGCCCUUUUCUUUUCUGGCCUUCACAGAAGGCCAAAGAGCAAUCCUUGGCCUUCCUUGGCUUGUGGAUGCAUCGUUUCAGUCUCUGCCUCUGUUUUCACAUGGCCCUCUUCCCUGUGUAUCUGUCUCUACGCUGCUUCUCAUCUUAUAAGGACACAAGUCAGAUUGGAAUAAAGCCUAUUCUAAUUCAGUAUAAUCACAUCUUAACUUGAUUAUGUAUGCAAAGACCAUAUUUCCAAAUAAGGUCACAUUUUCAGGUCCUCGGGGUUAGAGCUUUCACAUGUCUUUUUGGGGGACAUAGUUCAACUCAUAAUAGAAACCUCGCAGAUAAAUCAUUUUGGCCGGUGCACAGAGUUAAGUGGUGGAUUAUCAAGAAUAUGGAAUUUUAGAAUUUUAGCUUCUUGGUUGAUUUUUGGGAAUUAACAUACAGGAGAGCAGGUUUAGAAGUAACAAUAACACUUUGAGAGGCCGAGGUGGGCAGAUCAUGAGGUCAGGAGAUCGAGACCAUCCUGGCUAACAUGGUGAAACCCCGUCUCCACUAAAAAUACAAAAAUUAGCCGGGCAUGGUGGCAGGUGCCUGUAGUCCCAGCUACUCAGAAGGCUGAGGCAGCAGAAUGGCAUGAACCCGGGAGGCGGAGGUUGCAGUGAGCCGAGAUCGUGCCACUGCACUCCAGCUGGGGAGACAGAGUGAGACUCUGUCUCAUAAAAAAAAGAAGUGACAAUAACAAUAACAGAGGCUGGUCUUCUGGGAAUGAUGCGAUACUCUUCAGCCAGCCUUUCUGUUUUGAGCGAAGCCCCAACCUGGAGUUCAAAGAGAGUGAGGGCGCUUCCUGUCUUCUUGUCUUUCUCCUCUCUCCUGCUACUUGUUAUGAAAUUCAGAACAAUUAGAGAUUUUCUGUCUCAUCCCUGGAAUGGUGUUUCUCCUGCUGGCCCUAUCAGGCUGGUGUGUUGAUGUUAUCGGGGAGAGGCUGUAGUUACUAGGAUGAAGAAGGCAAGAGAGAAAUGGAAUUCACGCAGAUCAAACAUGUGUAAUCAGAAGACAUUACUGAGGCUUGAUGAUGCUGUUCAGGGUGUAUUUCCCUUGAAACGCUUCUUAAAAGACAGCAGCUUAAACAAAUGGGCAAGAUGAGAUUCACAGAGGUAACAUUUCAGAGAGAAUGUAGGUACAGCUAAGCAGAGCUAAGCAGUGACAGAAGGAGAAAGUGUGUCUGAAGAAAAAUCUUCAUUACAGAUUUGAAAGAAAAAAAACCCAUCAAAUCCCUCUGCCUUGUGGGUCUCACAGGAGGCAAACUUUCUUUACAAACUGUGUGUUUGUGUUUUGAGUGACUAAGAGUUCAGGGACAAGUUCAAACACACCUAAGUUCAAUUUAAAAGUAAAUGAGAUGACAUUGGAGGAAAUUUAUAAUAAAAUGUCACUCUUUACCUAACACCAUUUUCUCUGGAAUUCAAAAUAUCCAUUGUUUAAAAGUGACACAGUAACUACCAUCUAGUUUGCUGAAUGACCUUCUUUAUAGCGUCAUGGUAUUAGAAAUGGCUUCAGAAGGAAUCACUCAACUGCAUUUAUCUGGCAGGAGAAAAAUGCAGGUAGUAUUUAUUUUGGGGUGUGGUAGGGGAUGUCCCCUAGCAAGGAUCCUAGAAGUCAGUGUCAGGUAUGAGAACAAGAAACAUUCAUUUAUUGCAUGCAUACUCAUUGAGUCCCUACUAUGUAUUGGUAUUAUGUGGCAGUAUGAAUAUUCUCAUUUGUUAAAUAAAGAUACUUGAGUCUGCUUUCAGUGUUGUGGGUUUUGUUAUUAAGAGUAAUACAGUCAUGUGUUGCUUGAUCAUGGGGACUUGUUCUGAGAAAUGUGUUGUCAAGCAAUUCUGUCUUUGUGGGAACCUCGUAGAGAGUAGGGUACUUACAAAAACCUAGAUGGGAUAGCUUAAUACGCACCUAGGCUGUAGGGUAAAGCCCAUUGCUCCCAGGCUACAAACCUGUAGAGCAUGUUACUGACUGAAUACUGUAGGCAGUUGUAACAAAUCACUAGGCAACAGAAACUUUGCAGCUCUGUUAUUAUCUUAUGGCACCACUGUUGUGUAUGCAGUCUGUUGACCAAAACAUCAUGUGGUUCAUGAUCGUACUUAUAGUACUAAGUGCCAGGCAUUGAACUGUGCCAAGUGUCAGGGCUGAAUGAGCUCAUUCAAUUUUUCUAAUAAGUCUAUGAGGUAGUUACUGAUAUCGCCCCUGCUUUACAGAUGAGGAAACUGAGGCACAGAGAUAAGGAAUUUGGAUAAAUUUUUAUAACAGGUAGGAGAUAAGUGAUGAAGAGACACUGAAUGAUUGAAAACUCACUUGGUUUGAUUUGCUUAUGUGAAAAAUGGAUUUAAGGAAGGCAGCGGAUGCAAGCACGGAGGCAGGGAAACUGGUUGAUGUGUGGAUUGAGUGAGUUAAUGUGUGUCAAAUGCCUAGAAUGGUCACUACACAAGUAUUUGCUAUUGUUCUUAUUUUUGUUGUAAUCAGUCAGAAUGGUCUAAGUCAGUGGUCAGCAAACUUUUUUUAUGCAGAGCCAGAUAGAAAAUAAUUUAGGCUUUUUAUGCUCUUAGGUCUCUCUUGCAAUUACUCAAUUCUGCCCUUGUAGCAUGCAGGCAACCAUAGUCAAUGUGUAAAUAGGAACGAGCAUGGCUGCAUUCCAUUGCAUGUAGUUUAUAAAACUAUAGCCCACAGACUAUACUUUGCCAAUUCUUGGUCUAGACUAUGCUGUAGUUAUAAUUCCCAAACCCUAUUGGUU